CCUACGGGGGGCUGCAGUGGGGAAUAUUGGACAAUGGGGGCAACCCUGAUCUAGCCAUGCCGCGUGUGUGAAGAAGGCCCUCGGGUUGUAAAGCACUUUCAGUGAGGAAGAACGCCUGGUGGUUAAUACCCAUCAGGAAAGACAUCACUCACAGAAGAAGCACCGGCUAACUCCGUGCCAGCAGCCGCGGUAAUACGGAGGGUGCGAGCGUUAAUCGGAAUUACUGGGCGUAAAGCGCGCGUAGGUGGCUUGAUAAGCCGGUUGUGAAAGCCCCGGGCUCAACCUGGGAACGGCAUCCGGAACUGUCAAGCUAGAGUGCAGGAGAGGAAGGUAGAAUUCCCGGUGUAGCGGUGAAAUGCGUAGAGAUCGGGAGGAAUACCAGUGGCGAAGGCGGCCUUCUGGACUGACACUGACACUGAGGUGCGAAAGCGUGGGUAGCAAACAGGAUUAGAUACCCCUGUAGUC
rnacentral:rRNA from 1 species